rnacentral:rRNA from 1 species
CAAAGGAUGUCAAGACUGUAGUCUUCGCGUGCUCGAUAACCACAUGCUCACGCUGUGCGGGUCCCGUCAUCCUUUGAGUUUCACUUGCGGUCGUACUCCCCAGGCGACACUUAAUGCGUUAGCUUCGGCACUAAGAGCGGAAACUCUAACACUAGUGUCAUCGUUACGGUGUGGACUACCAGGGUAUCUAAUCCUGUUUGCUACCCACACUUUCGAGCCUCAACGUCAGUUGCAGUCCAGUAAGCCGCUUUCGCCACUGGUGUUCUUCCAUAUAUCUACGCAUUCCACCGCUACACAUGGAGUUCCACUUACCUCUACUGCACUCAAGUUAACCAGUUUCCAAUGCCAUUCCGGAGUUGAGCUCCGGGCUUUCACAUCAGACUUAAUAAACCGUCUGCGCUCGCUUUACGCCCAAUAAAUCCGGAUAACGCUCGGGACAUACGUAUUACCGCGGCUGCUGGCACGUAUUUAGCCGUCCCUUUCUGGUAUGGUACCGUCAAACUAAAAUCAUUUCCUAUUCUAGCUGUUCUUCCCAUACAACAGUGCUUUACGACCCUAAAGCCUUCAUCACACACGCGGCGUUGCUCCAUCAGGCUUUCGCCCAUUGUGGAAGAUUCCCUAACGCAGCCUCCCGUAGGAGUUUGGGCCGUGUUUCAGUCCCAAUGAGGCCGAUCAGUCUAUCAACUCGGCUAUGCAUCAUUGUCUUGGUAGGCCUUUACCCCACCAACUAACUAAUGCACCGCGGAUCCAUCUAUAGGGGACGCCGAAGCGCCUUUUAAUUUUGUGUCAUGCGACACUAAGUUUUAUUCGGUAUUAGCAUCUGUUUCCAAAUGUUAUCCCCAGCCUUGAGGCAGGUUGUCCACGUGUUACUCACCCGUUCGCCACUCACUGAAAGGUGCAAGCACCUUUCGCUGAGCGUUCGACUGCAUGUAUAGCA